rnacentral:rRNA from 1 species
ACUCCUACGGGAGGCAGCAGUGGGGAAUAUUGCACAAUGGGCGCAAGCCUGAUGCAGCCAUGCCGCGUGUAUGAAGAAGGCCUUCGGGUUGUAAAGUACUUUCAGCAGUGAGGAAGGUGGGUAUGUUAAUAGCAUACUCAUUUGUACGUUAGCUGCAGAAGAAGCACCGGCUAACUCCGUGCCAGCAGCCGCGGUAAUACGGAGGGUGCGAGCGUUAAUCGGAAUUACUGGGCGUAAAGCGCAUGCAGGUGGUUGUUAAGUCAGAUGUGAAAGCCCGGGGCUCAACCUCGGAAUUGCAUUUGAAACUGGCAAACUAGAGUACUGUAGAGGGGGUUAGAAUUUCAGGUGUAGCGGUGAAAUGCGUAGAGAUCUGAAGGAUACCGGUGGCGAAGGCGGCCCCUGGACAGAUACUGACACUCAGAUGCGAAAGCGUGGGAGCAAACAGGAUUAGAUACCCCGUGGUAGCGACUGA